UUGAUCUAUUAAAUUGAGGGACUAAAAUUAUGUAGCUGUGAUACCUAAAGACCUAAUUGACACAACUAAAUUUUGGGGAAAAAAAUAACACAUUUAUGACACUUGAAGACCCAAUUUGCACAAUUAAAACUUAAAAACUAAAAUUAAAUAAUUAUAAUACAUGAGAUACUAAAAAUAAAAUUAAGUCAAUUUCAAAUUUACGUGUUUCAUCAUAGAAAAGAAAACCUCUCUCCUAGGAGUUUGCCCACCAUUAUGUUACUUUAAUUUGACGACUCCCCACUUGCCAAAAACAACAUAAAGUCAAAUUCUGUUUUAGAAAUAAGCCGACGACGAAAUUGAAUUAAGAAAACUAUAGUUAAUUUGCUGAUGCUAGACCAGAGCGAAUAACCUCCUUCAGCUGGAAUAUGAAAAUUUUGCUUUCCCCAGCAAAACCAUUAGUACAGCCACAUAUUCAAUUAUUAGUUUCGUGUCAAAGCAAAUCAAGCUUUGAAGUCAUGAGAACAAAUGAUCCUUGUACAUAUGAUUUUCUAGUUCUACGUCAAAUUAAUAAGUAGCACUUUUUUUUUUUCUUUUCCAGAACUUUAAUAAGUAGAACUUAAAACAUCAUAAAAUUGACCCUUUUGUUACUUGGUAACUAGUACUACUUUGUUGGGUUAGAACAAUGUACCUUUAUUUAGCCAAUGGAUGGACCCUCUCGGCUACCUAACUAAACACCAAAUGCUUUGUUUUUGAACCUGAAAUUUGAAUUACCUGUAAAGAAGGGUAGCUACUAACUUUGUUUCUCGUAAAGUGGCCAUAUAUAUAUUUGGCCCAGAUGCUUGGGGCUAACGUACUGAAACAGACUAAACUUCAAUUCAAUUUA
rnacentral:lncRNA from 1 species